rnacentral:lncRNA from 1 species
CUCAAUCUCUAGAGGUCCUUCCCAACCCCUGGAAUUCUGUGAUUCAUUUCUUGUCUGCACAAACAGCCCUACAAUUAACCAUAGUGUUACACUCGCUCUGCUGCUUUUAAUCAUGUUUGACCAAUAUACACUCUCUCAGGAAAAACAUGCUCCUUUCUAGAUUCCGGAAACUGAUUGCAGAACUGGUGUUGCUAGUGACCCUGCAGGACUAUGCAGCCUUCAUUUCAGGUGCUGGACACUUGCUCAGAUGGAAGGACUUCGUUCUGGCACUCCCGAUGGCCAGCUUUCAGAGGGACGGACAGAAGCCUUCUUUCCGGCUUUGAAAAAUGUUACAUCUUCAUAUGAUCAGAAAAAUCUGGUAGAAUACCAUAGAGUAUCCAUGGUGGUACUUCCUCAAAGAUAUGCAUACAGAGGAGAUGCCAAAUCUUUGGUCGACCUUGGCACCUUCAUUCUUUUUGAAUUGUUUGCAAUCUCCUCAACAGAUUUUAAAACUAUGUGAGUGCAGAGAAUUAGUUUCAGUUUAUGUUUUUCUGUAUCGGUUGGACAAAGGUAGGUAAUAUGUCUUAAACUAUUAUUAUUUGCUUAGUAAAUGGGGAAAAAAGAAUAACAAAAGCAUAUUCAGAAAAGGAAUUACACAGUCCAGAAGGGCAGAUGUAUCAAUACAGUUAUUUGUCUUUCCAUAGUUUUUCAUGUAUAAUCUAGGUGUGUUAAAGAUGUGGUGAAGCUGAUGCCUACACUGUAAUAAUAAAUUUUGGGAGUUUAUAGAUUGCA